CUCUAAACUAGUGUAGUGUGUAAACUGGCGCAAAUGUUCAAGAAAUCGAAAAGAAAUUUUCGUCAAAGAGUCGCGACAAGUGAUUCUGACGCGGAAAAGAAUCACAUUGGAUUCUACCGGAGCCGAAAGAGCAAAAUAAACACAAAAUACCCAAAUCUUCCUUCGUGCUGACUGCUGAUUUUCGUCCACGAAGAAGGUAAUACGUUUUCGCGACUUAGAAUACCGGUUUAUAUAUACAUGUAGAGCGUCCAAAGGUUCACCUGACCACCACAACUCUUUUCGGAGUGUCUGAAGUUCGUGUACGUGCUGGGAAGCCACUUACAAUGAAACUGGGCAUUACCGGUUCUCCAACUCCCAUUGUCAUCUGGGCUAAAGAAGGAAAACCCAUUCCAAGGGCUCGCACCUCCAACACUCAUUACUAUACUACACUAGAGCUCCCAAAAGCAGAUCAUGGUGACACUGGAAACUACCUUGUGACUGUUGAAAACGAACAUGGCAGAGAUUCUGCAGAUAUUCCGGUCUUAGUUAUUGACAAGCCUGGACCCCCGGACGGUCCUUUGGAGGUCAGUGAUGCGUUUGCGGACUCCUGCCAAUUGGCUUGGAAACCACCUCAGGACAAAGGAAACUAACCAAUAAUCGUUACACAGUAGAAAAAUGCCAGGAGGGCUUGUACUUCUGGGAAAAGGUGCCUGGCAUGCCGAUGUGCAAGUCCAUAAUAGUCACUGGACUGAAGACUGGAGUCAAGUUCAAGUUCAGGGUCAUGGCUGAGAACAUAUACGGAAUAGGAGAGCCCUUAGAGACAGAUUUCCCAGUGUUAGUCAAGAAUCGAUUUGAGUCCCCAAAGGUUCACCUGACCAACACAUCUCUUUCUUGAGCGUCUGAAGUUUGUGUACGUGCUGGGGAGCCACUUAUGAUGAAACUGGGCAUUACCGGUUCUCCUACUCCCACUGUCAUCUGGACCAAAAAAGGAAAACCCAUCCCAAGGGCGCGCACCUCCAACACUAAUGACUGUACUACACUAGAGCUCCUAAAAGCACAUCAUGGGGACACUGGAAACUACCUUGUGAUUGUUAAAAACGAUCAUGGCAGAGAUUUUGCAGAUAUUCCGUUCAUCAUUAUUGACAAGUGUGGACCCCCCGAAGGUCCUCUGGAGGUCAGUGAUGUGUUUGCGGACUCCUGCUGAUUGGCAUGGAAACCACCUCAGGACAAAAGAAACUUACCAAUUAUCGGUUACACAGUAGAGAAAUGCCAGGAGGGCUCAGACAUACCGAUGUGCAAGUCCAGAAUAGUCACUGGACUGAAGACUGGAGUCAAGUUCAAGUUCAGGGUCAUGGCUGAGAACAUAUACGGAAUAGCAGAGCCCUUAGAGACAGACUGCCCAGUGUUAGUCAAGAAUCGAUUUGAGCCGCCUGCCAAGAAGACAGUAAUUUGGAAGAAGAUUCUGAAGAAGAUACACCAGUUGUUGAUACAGCUCUGUCCACAGCUACAACCAACAAGUCCAAACCCACAACCAGCCAGUCCAAAGCCACAACCAGCCAGUCCAAAGUUUCAACCAAAGCAACAACCAGCUUUGUCGGAAAGAAAGCGCAGAAAAGAAAAAUGUGGUCUGUUGAAGAACAAGCUGCUGUUGAGCGACAACUGGGAAAAUAUCUUCACACUUCAAAGCUGCCAGAUAAACACGAGAUUGAGGAGAGCCGAAAAAAAGAACCUGUAUUGUUGAACAGACCUUGGCAACAAGUGAAAAGCUACAUUAAAAUAUGUAAAGUUUCAAUGCAGAGAAGAUUAAACAGUGCAAACUAAACAAGCUGUGUGUUUUGUGUCAAGCCAGCAGGGGUGAACUACUGGUUUAUUUCCUUGAAAAGCAUGCCUUAGUUACAAGGCUUAUUGUGUAUAAACAUUCAUCACUAUUUAUCUUUUGUUCGUAUUUUACAUUAACAUUCGACCUUGUACUCAUGUCCUUCGGAUUUUUUGUUGCGCAUAAUCAAAAAGGAUAAAUGCUAGGAAUGAAACUUUACAAACAUUAAUAUCCCAGCAUGAGAACUUAUUCCCCUGUGUAUUUUGGUCCUUUUUUCUACAUAAUUGGAGUUAUGAGACAACUGGAAUAUAGGGGAAUCAGUGUCCUUAGGACACGUGUUGAAUUGUUCUGUUUUAUCUUCAUUUUAUAUGCGUGAUGUGCUCACAUAAAGUUUUGUUUUAUUUUUGGGACUGCUUUUCAUGUGAGUCCAAUUUCUGUAUUAUCUACAUGUAGUGCUCCAUCAAGGCCUUAAUGGAAGGUUGCCCCGCCCUUCCUUUCCAAUGAUUUGUAACUUGAUUUGUAACAUUAUUGACAGUGUGUUAUGGCGCAUAUGUAGUAGCAGCUGUUUUUCUUAGUAUAAAUUACUUUUUUGGAUUUGUGUUGCAUAUUACUCAAAAGGAUUUACUGCUAGAGUAGUAUACAUAUAAAUGUAUUGAUCAGCAUCUGCACUUUUAUUAUACGCUUUUGUAACAACAGGCAUGUUCUUUGUUAAAUUUAUUUUGCAAAAGUACAACAAACCUUUAACCCACAAUGGUAUCUUUAAGCAGCUUUUAGCUCCAUAUUUUGAAGAAAUGGCUUUUCUUCUUGCCCCAUCUUCAGCCUUUGAACUACAUGUAGCUUAAAGUUAAAACUUUUUCUGUAAGCUAGUUUCAUGUGAUUUCAAUGUCUGUAUUAUCUACAUGCAGUGCUCCAGCUAGGCCUUAAUGGAAGGGUGUCCCGCCCUGCCCUUCCGAAGUCCCGCCCUGCCCUUCUGAGGCCCCGCCCUGCCCUUCUGAGGCCCCGCCCUGCCCUUUUAUUAAAAAAAUGAGUUAAUAGCUUUUUUUUAUCUCCUAAAGAUGUUUCAUUAAUAAACCCAUAUGUUUUGUGCUGGGUUACUUGUUUGAAUAAUUAUAUUUCGUCAAUAUAAUGAUAAAUUGAUGACUGUAAUUGGUUUAUGUGUGGACUAUUUCUUAAUAUUUGAUGUGUUUAAUUUCACUAACUGUUACAAUUUAUAAGUUUCAAGAGAUAUAUAUGUUGGAGUGUGUUAUUGUAUGAGUGUUGGUAUUUUUCGCCUCAUUACGUGUGGACAUGAAUGUCAAUAGAUUAGAAUUAGAAGAUGAUAAUGUUGUACAUGAUCUCAUGACCAUACUAUCAUUUUGUUUUGACUUAUUAAUAUAAUGCAACAUACAUGUCGUCUACUGUUAUUACAUAAAUAUAGUACAACAUACAUGUCAUCUACUGAAUGUAAUAAUUUGUUUGACAGACAUUUUGUGGAUUUUUCAAGACAGCAUAUUUUCCAAAAUACAUAAAGAUCACUUACGUAACUUUUUGCAUUCAAAAUAUUUCAGUGUUACAAUUAUGGUAACUGCUUCUUUCUUAUUGUUUUAAAAAAGACAUCUCAAUUGAGAGUUGUGUUUUGUUUUACAAAUUUUAUUUUAAUACUAAUAAGAAAAUUGGAAUACCGAAAAAUAUUUAUUAUUUUAAUAAAACAGAUUUUUGCUUCUCCUGAAAAAAAAUGUCAGUAACACUACUUAUUGCAUUCAGAAAACAACAUGUGUUUACUCAUGUCAUUUUGCAAAAUUUGGUAAAAGCAUUAUUUAUACCAGAAAGGUUGUCCUAAUAAUUUAACAGUUGAUGUACGUCAUUUAAAUAAACACACAAAAGCUGAUAAGUCAUAUAACUGACAUUUUUAGCUUUAUAACAUUUAGUAGUACCUGAGUAG